rnacentral:lncRNA from 1 species
AUGAUUUGUUGGUGCAAUUAGUAGUACUACUUAUGCUUAUAAACUGAACUAAAGUCUCCACACGACUCGAUGUGGGACUGGGGUGUUACAAACUCCCCCACUUAAAUUCCUGACGUCCUCGUCAGGCCGAAACGGAUAGCCCAUAGGCCCAGAUCGAACCUCUCUAGCCAUUGUGGGAUAAUACCGGCUGGCUUCGUGUCCCCGCCUCCGGAUCUCUGUCCAUUGCGGGAUAAUACCACCAGCCUUCGUGUCCCCACCUCCGGCAACUUGACGAAUCAAGCUUUCGAGAGCCUGCUCUGAAUACCAUAUGAAACAACCCGGGUCAAAUCCCGAGUCUUUUUCGAAAAUCGGGUCAAGUCCCGAAAUCCGAAUCCGAAAAUAAGCCCAAAUAUACUGGCCCAAUUGCAACAACUUGGGUAAUCCACAAGCCCACCACAGGCCCCCAAAAGAUCAUGAUUUGUUGGUGCAAUUAGUAGUACUACUUAUGCUUAUAAACUGAACUAAAGUCUCCACACGAC